UAUGAACACGGUUAGUUCCACUUUUUCCUUUCUUUAUUCUAAUUAUUGUCACUCACUCCCUCUCUUAUCUAUUAAGCAAACAGAGCCUAAAGGUCUCUCUCUCUCUCUCUCUCUCUCCCCCUCCCUGUCGCUGUCCCUCUCCCCUUGCCUUUCAUCAAAAGCAGUGCAACAGGAAGGAAAGGAAGGAAGGAAGCAAGGAAGAAGCAUAAUUUUCAAAAUAUCAAGAAAACAAGAGGAAAAUGCCACCACAUGGUCACCCCAGCAACGGCCAGAACCCUGCAAGACAACGGCCAGAACCAUCGCAUUCAAACCAACAACAGCAGCAGCACCACCACCAACCGUACUACUCAUCGGCAUCAUCUUCGUCAGCUUCCUUCAAAGGUUGCUGUUGCUGCCUCUUCCUCCUCUUCUCCUUCCUGGCCCUCCUAAUCCUGGCCGUCUUUCUCGUCAUAAUCCUGGCCGUCAAACCCAAGAAACCCCAGUUCGAUCUCCAGCAGGUUGGAGUCCAGUAUAUGGGCAUUACCGCAUCUAAUCCUACAGCCUCCAUGGACCCCACAACCGCAACCACAACCACACCUGCCACUGCUUCUCUCUCCUUAACCAUUCACAUGCUGUUCACUGCUGUUAACCCGAACAAGGUAGGGAUCAAGUACGGGGAGUCCAGUUUUACUGUCAUGUACCGUGGGAUUCCUUUAGGGAAAGCUUCGGUUCCUGGGUUUUAUCAGGAAGCUCACAGCCAGCGACAGGUGGAGGCCACCAUAUCCGUUGAUCGGUAUAGCUUGAUGCAAGCUGAUGCUUCUGAUUUGAUCAGGGAUGCCUCGUUGAAUGAUCGUGUGGAGCUCAGGGUUCUGGGUGAGGUUGGUGCCAAGAUCCGUGUUCUAGACCUUGAUUCGCCUGGUGUUCAGCCUGGUAUGUGAUUUUUUAAUGCUACAAUACAAUGCCGUCCGAAGAAAUUCUGAUGGACAAGGUAUCAGUGGAUUGUGCAAUAGUGAUAAGUCCCAGAAAACAGUCUCUUACUUACAAGCAAUGUGGAUUUGAUGGAUUGAGUGUUUGAGGCGCCACCCCACCUUCAGUGAGGGAAAAAACGUCUUUUUUUUUUCCUUUUUUCUCUCUACAAGCAAGGAGAGAGAUAGGAGAUGAGGAGGGUGUCACCGAGAAAACAAAAACAGAAGGGUUAGAAGGGUAGAAGGCAGGGCAAGCCCAUAUCUUUCACAUGAUUGGAGCUAGUUCAAACUUCGAAGGCACGAGGCAAAGAGCUAGAGCUAAGAAGAGGAAGGGGGAGGAGGGGUAAAUAUUUUACACUUCUAAAUGGGAGGCCAAAAGGUUUUCCAGCCCAUGAUUUUACUGAUUUUUGUAUUCUUUUAUGGAAUGAGAAAUUAAACUGCUGACUGCAUGUGAAAUUCCAAAACAAAUGUAGUGCUCUACCUCUACCACUAAUUGCAGCUGCCUCAUUUUCGCAA